rnacentral:rRNA from 1 species
AGUGAACGCUGGCGGUAGGCCUAACACAUGCAAGUCGAACGGCAGCACAGUAAGAGCUUGCUCUUACGGGUGGCGAGUGGCGGACGGGUGAGGAAUACAUCGGAAUCUACUUUUUCGUGGGGGAUAACGUAGGGAAACUUACGCUAAUACCGCAUACGACCUACGGGUGAAAGCAGGGGAUCUUCGGACCUUGCGCGAUUGAAUGAGCCGAUGUCGGAUUAGCUAGUUGGCGGGGUAAAGGCCCACCAAGGCGACGAUCCGUAGCUGGUCUGAGAGGAUGAUCAGCCAAACGGGAACUGAGAAACGGUCCAGACUCCGACGGGAGGCAGAAGUGGGGAAUAUUGGACAAUGGGCGAAAGCCUGAUCCAGCCAUACCGCGUGGGUGAAGAAGGCCUUCGGGUUGUAAAGCCCUUUUGUUGGGAAAGAAAAGCAGCAGGUUAAUACCCCGCUGUUCUGACGGUACCCAAAGAAUAAGCACCGGUUAAUUUCGU